rnacentral:rRNA from 1 species
GGGAUUAGAUACCCCACUAUGCCAAGAAAAUUACGGGCACGCCUAAAACUCAAAAGACUUGACGGUGCCCCAACCUACCUAGAGGAGCCUGUUCCAUAAUCGAUAACCCACGAUCAACCCAACCACCCCUCGAAAGCCUAUAUACCGCCGCAGCCUACCUUCUAAAAGCACCCAAAGUAGGCUAAAUAGUACUAAAAAGUCAGGUCAAGGUGUAGCUAAUGAGGUGGCGCUAAUGGGCUACAUUACCUAAAAUAGGUCACAACUAUUUGAAACAUAAACACAAGGCGGAUUUAACAGUAAACCAAGCAAGACUACUUGAUUUAAUANUAGCUCUGGGGCAUGUACACACCGCCCGUCACCC